AGGCCUGCAGAGAGAGAGGCAGGAUCUGAUCCGCAGCCUCAGUGGCAGCUGUUGAUCAGUGUUGCCUCUCUCUUUCUCUUCA
rfam:Myotis brandtii contig208580, whole genome shotgun sequence.